UGAGGAAUAUUGGUCAAUGGGCGAGAGCCUGAACCAGCCAAGUAGCGUGAAGGAUGACUGCCCUAUGGGUUGUAAACUUCUUUUAUAAAGGAAUAAAGUCGGGUAUGCAUACCCGUUUGCAUGUACUUUAUGAAUAAGGAUCGGCUAACUCCGUGCCAGCAGCCGCGGUAAUACGGAGGAUCCGAGCGUUAUCCGGAUUUAUUGGGUUUAAAGGGAGCGUAGAUGGAUGUUUAAGUCAGUUGUGAAAGUUUGCGGCUCAACCGUAAAAUUGCAGUUGAUACUGGAUAUCUUGAGUGCAGUUGAGGCAGGCGGAAUUCGUGGUGUAGCGAUGAAAUGCUUAGAUAUCACGAAGAACUCCGAUUGCGAAGGCAGCCUGCUAAGCUGCAACUGACAUUGAGGCUCGAAAGUGUGGGUAUCAAACAGGAUUAGAUACCCUGGUAGUCCACACGGUAAACGAUGAAUACUCGCUGUUUGCGAUAUACGGCAAGCGGCCAAGCGAAAGCGUUAAGUAUUCCACCUGGGGAGUACGCCGGCAACGGUGAAACUCAAAGGAAUUGACGGGGGCCCGCACAAGCGGAGGAACAUGUGGUUUAAUUCGAUGAUACGCGAGGAACCUUACCCGGGCUUAAAUUGCAGAUGAAUUACGGUGAAAGCCGUAAGCCGCAAGGCAUCUGUGAAGGUGCUGCAUGGUUGUCGUCAGCUCGUGCCGUGAGGUGUCGGCUUAAGUGCCAUAACGAGCGCAACCCUUGUUGUCAGUUACUAACAGGUUCCGCUGAGGACUCUGACAAGACUGCCAUCGUAAGAUGUGAGGAAGGUGGGGAUGACGUCAAAUCAGCACGGCCCUUACGUCCGGGGCUACACACGUGUUACAAUGGGGGGUACAGAGGGCCGCUACCACGCGAGUGGAUGCCAAUCCCAAAAACCUCUCUCAGUUCGGACUGGAGUCUGCAACCCGACUCCACGAAGCUGGAUUCGCUAGUAAUCGCGCAUCAGCCACGGCGCGGUGAAUACGUUCCC
rnacentral:rRNA from 1 species